rnacentral:rRNA from 1 species
UACAGAGGUCUCAAGCGUUGUUCGGAUUCAUUGGGCGUAAAGGGUGCGUAGGCGGCGCGGUAAGCCGGGUGUGAAAUCUUGGAGCUUAACUCCGAAACUGCAUUCGAUACUGCCGUGCUUGAGGACUGGAGAGGAGACUGGAAUUUACGGUGUAGCAGUGAAAUGCGUAGAGAUCGUAAGGAAGACCAGUGGCGAAGGCGGGUCUCUGGACAGUUCCUGACACUGAGGCACGAAGGCCAGGGGAGCAAACGGG